ACGAACGCUGGCGGCUGCUUAACACAUGCAAGUCGAACGGAGUGGCGAACGGGUGAGUAACGCGUGAGCAACCUGCCUAUGACAGGGGGAUAGCCUCGGGAAACAGGGAUUAAUACCGCAUAGGCAUAGAAGGGCUCGGGUCGGAUUCGCUAGUUGGUGAUAUAAAAGCCCACCAAGGCGACGAUCAGUAGCCGGUCUGAGAGGAUGAACGGCCACAUUUGAACUGAGACACGGUCCAAAUUCCUACGGGAUGCAGCAGUGGGGAAUAUUGCACAAUGGGGGAAACCCUGAUGCAGCGACGCCGCGUGAACGAAGAAGGUAUUCGUAUCGUAAAGUUCUGUCCUAUGGGAAGCAGUACCAUAGAAGAACGCUCCGGCUAAAUACGUGCCAGCAGCCGCGGUAAUUC
rnacentral:rRNA from 1 species